rnacentral:rRNA from 1 species
CUACGGGUGGCUGCAGUGAGGAAUAUUGCGCAAUGGACGAAAGUCUGACGCAGCCAUGCCGCGUGCAGGAUGACGGCGCUAUGCGUUGUAAACUGCUUUUAUAUGCCAAGAAACCUUCGGACGUGUCCGAAGCUGACGGUAGCAUAUGAAUAAGCACCGGCUAACUCCGUGCCAGCAGCCGCGGUAAUACGGAGGGGUGCAAGCGUUAUCCGGAUUUAUUGGGUUUAAAGGGUCCGUAGGCGGAUCAUUAAGUCAGUGGUGAAAGCCGGCAGCUCAACUGUCGAACUGCCAUUGAUACUGGUGAUCUUGAAUACGGUUGAAGUUGGCGGAAUAGGUCAUGUAGCGGUGAAAUGCUUAGAUAUGACCUAGAACACCGAUUGCGAAGGCAGCCAACUAAGCCGUUAUUGACGCUGAGGGACGAAAGCGUGGGGAGCGAACAGGAUUAGAUACCCUUGUAGUC